CACAGAAGUGACCCAAGCCACAGCAGUAACAAUGCCAGAUCCUUAACCACUAGGCCACCGCACUAUCUUUCUUCAACAGUUUUGACACUCUUAUAAAAAACAUUUUGACCACAUAUACAAGAGCUUAUUUCUUGCCUCUAUUCUAUUCCAUUGGUCUAUAUUCUGUCUUUAUGUUAUGAUCACAGUUUUGAUUACUAUAGCUUUGUAAUAAGUUUGGAAAUCAGAAAGUGUGAGUCAUACAUCUUUGUUCUUCUUUUAAAAGAGUCUUUUGGCUAUUUGGGGUCCCAUGUGAUUCCAUAUGAAUUUUAGGAUAGGUUUUCUAUAUCUGCAAAAAUAUCAUUGAGAUUUUAGUAGGGAUGGCACUGAAUCUUUAGUAGAUUACUUUGGAUAGUACUGACAGCUAAACAAUAUUGUCUUUCAAUCUAUCAACGUGGGGUGUCUUCUUUAAACUUUAGCAAUGAUUUCUAAUUUUCAUUGUACAAGCCUUUCAACUCCUUGCUAACUAAAUAUUUUAUUCUCAUUGAUGCCACUGUAAAUGAAAUUGUUUUAAUUUUCUGUUUAGACUGAUGUAAGAUAUGCAGCUGAUUUUUUUGUGUGGAUUUUGUAUCCUGCUGCUUUGCUGAAUUUAUUUAUUUAUUUUGUGUAAAAUUUAUGGAUUUCUACCUAUACAGCAUAUUGUCUUCACAAAGAGAAAAUUUUACUUCUUCCUUUCCAACCUGGAUUCUUUUUUCCUUCUUCUCACACUUCUCUGGCUAGGAUAUCUGGUACUAUGUUGAGCAGAAGUGGUGAAAUGGGGCACGUUUCCCUUGUACCUGAUCUUAGAGGAAAAGUUUUCAGUUUUUCAUCAUUGAAUGUGUUCUCUGUGGACUUGUCAUUAUACUGAGGUAAUUUCCUUCUAUUCCUAGUUUUAUCAUGAAAGGGUGUUCACUUUUGUCAAAUGCUUUUCUGCGUCAAGAUAAUUGUGGUUUUCUUCAUUUCAUUAAUGUGGCAUACAUAGCAUACUGCUCAGUUUGCAUAUGUUUUACCAUUCCUGCAUUCCAGGAAUAAAUCCCACUUGAUCAUGGUGGAUAAUCCUGUUAAUAUGAUGCUGAAUGAGGAGGUAUUUACAUUUAAAGUUUUUAUUUAACAAACUUAAGUUAUAUUUUGUGUGAUUACUAUUCUAGACAUUGUAAAAUUAUUAAAUAUUUUAAUUGGUAUAGUAACUCCAAGAGGUAGGUAGUAUUUUUAUCCCCAUUUUUCAAAUUAGUAAAGUGAGUCACACAGAAGUCAAGUAAGUUUCUCAAAGUCAUUUGGCCAACAAAUGACAGAUUGGGAUUUAGAUACAAUUAAGCUUGGCUUCAGAAUCCAAGUGCUUAACUACUGCUUUGCGCUGCCUUUUAGCAAGUGUCCUCAUCAAAGGCUACUACUUGACCUGUAGUUUCUACCUGAAUCAAAGCUUUUAGGCUUAUCAUUUUUAUUUCCACUUAAGUUUCCACUUGCAGGCUGCUACCACAAGCUUUCCUAUACACACUGGAGUGAGAUCCAGGCUGUUCUAUCAUAUAUGAUAUAUUCCCCCCUUUUCUCCAGUUGGUUACAGAUCUUGAUCCUAUUCUGGAAAAUAUGUAAAUACAUAAAUUACAUAUAAUACCAAGACAUUUAUUAUCAGUGUUUGCGCUGUCAGGUAGAUCCUGAGAUAAGAAAGCAUUUGAUAAGCUGGGAAGUACUAUAUAAGUGUCAGCUAUGAUUAACUAUACAGUAUUAUGUUACUCCAAGUUUCCCAUUAAGCCCAGAUUUCUUUUUAGUAUAACAUUUUAUGGGAGUGAAAACUUUCCUGAGUUUUAAGGAAGUGUAUAUUCUUGUGGUUAAAGAGGCCAUAUCUAGUAAUAAGGAAUCUGGGAUAUAGAAAAGCCGUUUUUUUCAAGGUCUCAUUGAUAAACAGUAACAGGCCCAGGGUUAGAAAACCUUGUGCUCCUCACCCCCGGCCUAACAUUCUUUCCAUUAUUGCACCAACUCAAAAACACAGAUUGGGCUGUACUAUAUUCAAGAUGCGAUAUCUGGGUAUUUUCGUGUGUACAGCUCAAAGGGUAGGCCGCUGCCACCACCAGUGACACCUUAUAUAACUAUUAAUGUUGUUUACCUGCAGAAAACUAUCAUACAGGUCUGUACGGCCUUCAGCGUAAUAACUCUAUGUAUUAUCAUUUUCAUCAUUAACGUUUACUAGAAAAAUUCCACAGAUACAGAAGAGUGAAAAAACAGAAUCCAUAUUAUGUUUUCUCUUCAAAAGUAUUCCUCUUAUUUCUAUGAUAUUUUGGGCUUUAGUAAAUUUGAUAUUUACUGUCAUCAUGUUCAUCAAUUUGAGAUGGUGUUCACAUCCCUCCUGGCUGAAAGCCUUUAGAUAGUUCAUCAUAAAGCUGUUUCUCUUGUUCUUUUAUUCUAAUUGCUUUUCUCUAGGCUUUAAUUCUAUAGCUUCCCCCCACCCCAAAUCCCUCUCCCGUCCUUCCUAGUGUGGAGAUUGGGUGAUCCGUAAUAAGUGCCAAUACUCAAUAGUUUCCCUUAAUCAUCAAGGCAAUGCAAAUUAUUUUUUAAAAGAAGCAAAAUGCAAAUACAAAAGUGUAGAAACGGAAGUGUAUGUAUACUUUGGCACUCCGACUUUCUAGAAGUGUUAACAAUCUUAUUAGGCCUUCUUGACCUUUCAUCCUGUGCCUAU
rnacentral:lncRNA from 1 species